UACGUAGGGAGCAAGCGUUGUCCGGAAUCAUUGGGCGUAAAGCGCGCGUAGGCGGCCCGAUAAGUCCGCUGUAAAAGUCAACGGCUCAACUGUUGAAAGCCGGUGGAUGACUGUCGGGCUAGAGUACGGAAGAGGCAAGUGGAAUUCCUGGUGUAGCGGUGGAAUGCGCAGAUAGUCAGGAGGAACACCUAUAGCGAAGGCAGCUUGCUGGGACGUUACUGACGCUAAGGCGCGAAAGCGUGGGAGCGAACAGG
rnacentral:rRNA from 1 species